GAUCCACCUGCAGAACAGGAAAGAGGCUCAAUGUCGGCAUGGCAACAGGUGGGGUCAAAGGUCACCAGUGCAAAAGUGGUCUUUAGAAAUCCUGCAGCGUGUCGGUUUCCAGGUCAAGGAGGCGACUCGUUAGCUCUUAGUGAGCGUCAGCAGAACACAACUUUAUCUCUGAUGAAACCACGGUGAGGUUCUGACCCUGCAGGGAAGACUCGGGAAGAUUUAAAGGUCCAACAGUGAGUUGGGGAGGUUGGUGUCCUCCUUGACCAGGUCAUGUGGUUUAAUCUCAUUUAAAUUGCUUUCUAGGACAACCUUCUUUCACCAGUACAAGAAAUAUCCUGUCUAGCAGUGACGCUGGUCCCUGUGUUUGUUACUUCAAAGCUGGACUGUUGUAACCCUUUACUAUCAGGAUGUCCACAAAAUGCAGGUCCACAGAGUGAGAGGAGAGGGUUCUGGAAGGUCGGACAGGAGAAUCAGGAGAGAUGGGCAGGCAGGAGUGAAGACGAUGGAUGAAUUGGGUUAACAUUCAUCCAGUGUGUCCUGUUCAGCUGAAGCACAAAGAGGGGGGGACCUUCUGUCUUUUCUCCACUGAGGAGUUCACUAAGAAACAAAGUUACGGCUAGAAGAAUAAAUGUGGAAGAAACCCAUGCAGGAGGAGCCUAUGAUCUCCAUAUCUGACAGAGGGAAGAUCGCUCUGCUGCUCUUCAUGAAGAACGAGAUGAUGGAACUCAGCUGAGAUCGCUCAGACUUUGGGACUAUAGCACCACCAGCUGGCAAGAAUGGGUAAAGCAACAAGCCCACCCCUCCACCUGAGAAAAUGAGGAGAUGUACAGGUCCAGGACCUCCAGCAUGUUUCUUCUUGUUCAAAUGGAUUGGUUCCUUCCCACUGUUGGCACGUUCUUUUUUAGGAGGAGAGAUUGCAGUAACCUUAAUGAUCUAACCAUCUGGGCCUCAUGUGGACGGUACCAACUCCAGACUUGACUUCAGUUCACAGGAGAUGAUCUUCCUGCCUGCAGCUGUGAUCCAACGUGAGGAGGCAGCAGAGACCUCAGGUCGUGUUUUAAAAGUUAUCUCCUUUAAACCUGCUGAGAUGAUAAGGACGAUGUCUUCUCUCCACCGAGACAUCCCGACUGCUGGGACACAGCGACCAUCUGAAGGAACGAGGUGAGCAGAGCGAUCAGGAGACAGACUGUAAAAGAAGAACUGAGGUGAGCGGAGGAACAGGUUGGAAUAUUCAAGCAAAGACCUUUGCUCACUUUCUGGAAGGCGAUCAAUCCGCCAGGAGGAGAAACCAGUUCAAGUCUGUGGUAAGAGUCUGCACGAAAACGAUUAGAGCGAUCUGAUGUUCCAGGUAACAAAGUGGUGGACAGGUUGCGCCUCCAGCUGGAGGACUCGCAAGGGCAGCAGCAGAUUCCAGUCUUGACAGGAAGUGGGUUCAGGAGGAAACCCAGCUUGGCCUAUAACGAAAGAACAAGACGGAUAAUUAAUCAAGGCUCAAAAAACAAGUGGAGCUUCCAGAAUUCAGCAGAUAAUGGCCAGGUAAACACUACCACGGUAGGCAAAACACUCAGGCGUAGAAAAGCCAACGAUCCACCUUCAUAUAGUCCUCCAGCUGAUGAAGCAACGAGGUAAACCUGUCAACACUCCGGUCUGCAGCUCCAGCGCCUCUUAGGGUGAGAACUUUAGUAACAGGCAGGUUGAACAGACUGUGACAGUCAGAGGUUAAGACUGUAUUUAAUUUAACCUCAGAAAUGCUGGAUUAAAAAGUUAAGUCUUCAGUUCAGUUGUCAUGUUCACUGACUCAGCCACCUCCAGGUCCUCCAGAAUUAAAAACGUGGUUACAGAAGACCUGAAGGUUCUGAAGAGCUCACACAGUAGAAACAUCUUUGAUAAAUCAGAAGGACCAGGAGCUUUGUACAUGACUCCAGACUUCUGCAGGCGAGCUGUGCAGAGACAGUGAAAUAAAUGGUUCCUCCUGGUUCUUGGAGCUGAGAUUUGACAAAUUAUUUUGAAGAAACACCAGGAAAAGGAUAAUGGAGAGUCCAGGUAAGAAAUGCUUGGAUGCUUGUUUCUGUGUUGGUUCUGCAGGUCUGGAAAUAUUCUAAUCUGAGGUCUAAUUGAAAAAUGACUCUGAGGUUUUUUGAUUGAGAACUUCAGUUUCAUUCUUUUCUGGUUUCAUCUUUUUGUGCUGGUUGAGUUGUAGGAGAUGAUUUUCCAUCCAGAGCUUCAGAUCCAAAAUCCAUUUCUAAAUACAUUGCACAUAAGCCUGAGUGUCAUCUGCACAGGUGUGGACCCUAAUGCUGUGUUACCUGCUGAUGUCUGAAAGAGGAAGCGUUAAACUUUUACUGCAACCAUCUCAACUCUCAGGUCGACUCGGAUAAUUCACCAAAUGUCCAGCAGAUGGCGGUAUACACCCACACAUGGAGAACUGGCCUCGGAUCAGACAUGAAGGAGAAAAACAUAAAGUUAUUUUUAAAGCUGCUCAUAAAUCUGCUUAAUUUAGUUCAACAGUUUUUUUCCACAUUCUGUAAAGUUUAGUUAGGUCUUUGUUCUAUUUGUUCAGGAAACAGAUACUAAAGAUACUAACAGCUGAAUGUAGUUUGUAUAUUUUUUCUCAGUAAAGAAAAGAAAUCAGAGUGAAUGUUAAACAGGAAGUAUAGUUUUUAUUUGGACUAACUUUCUGACUCACUGUGAUCAAUCUUCUCCAAGUUUGAGUGAAACCCUGAAGCUCAUUUUGGACCUUUUGGAAACAGUGUGACUUUGGACUUUAAUUAUACUGUCACCUUUAAUUAAAGCUGGUGUUAUUCUGCUGAUUUCUGCCAGGAAGAAACUGUGGAAGAGAAGAUUCCAGAACUAGGAGAACCUGGUCUCCAUCCCUGGGACUGAAGCUGCCUUUGGGCCUCAGGUGCAUCAGCUUCAGCUCAUUUAACUCAGCAAUCAGCUGACUGAGCAGACUUGGUUUAAAAGAAUACUGCGAAGUUUCUAAGAAGAUGGUCAGAAGGUCUGAGAGAUGCUGAUGUUUCCUUCCUGUGUUUCGUCUCUUCAUGUAAAAAACUUUACAGGAAUCCUGUUGGUUCCUGAAUUCAGAUUUAAUCCCUCUGAACUCUUCUUCCCUUCAUCUCAACUUUAAUUGGUGCCGUUUCUUAUUCAGAAAACACAGUUUAAUUCAAACAUUUGGACUAAAAUAUUGUUUAUUUGUUGUUCUACAUCUGGAGAUGUUUUAUUUCUAGUCUAGUUUGACUCAAAUAAUAAUGUCACAUUUAUACCUUCAUCAAAUAUUAAGUCCAAACACAACACAGUUAGUUAUUCCUUGCGACACACUGUUUCAUUUAAGGAUCAAUGAUUAAACCCACAGACGCCUUUAUUAAAUAAAAAUAUAGUAGUGCAACAAACUGAAACUUGAAGUUAGGUUUUUAAUAUCAUUUAAAAGGAUUCUCAGACCUGUUUGACUUAAACAACAAAUGAAAUGUUAAUAAAAAGAGAUUAAACUGAAUAAAGAAGUGAUCAAAUCUCUAAAUAAUAUACAACAGGAAGUGUAAAACAUUAGAAACAAGCUUCUUAUUUUAGUUUUCUUUGUAACUCUCAGCUUCUUAUUUAUUGUCUCCAUCAUAAAAACCAAAAUGUGAUCUUCAUCAGCAUUCAGAGGGAAUCCUUUGGUCCUCGGCUGUUUUACAGAGGUCUGCUCUUUGUUUCGCUGCUCCCUACUGGUGCUCUGCAGCAUUUAGUAGAAAGGUUGAACCAGUCUGUAGAAGCUGUCACUUUCUCUGUUGUCCAGGAUCGUCUGAUGUCAGAGAUGGAAAGAAGGAAAUUAUUACCACCUACUUACAAUAUUUCAACCAUGUUUAGGGCUCCAAACUUGCAAGGCGGAGCAGGGAACCCUGUCGCUUUUCUACUGUUUUCUUAUUCUUGAAUUUUCCCCUAGUGCUGUAAAAUACCCAUAAUGCAUUUUGAGGGCUGAACCAUUAAGGCCUGAGUGCUUCUGCGAGUAAAGCUGAAUCUGACCCAUGUUGGGCAGGAGGGCCUGAAGGGUUAUGUUCCAGUUUGAGCCUGCUGACCCCAGGACAGCCUCUUCCUGUCUGUUGUUGGGCCCAGCCAUGGAUGGAGAACAAUCACUGAACUACACAAGCAAAAACACUGGUAAAACUCUGAAUCCCAGAAUGCACAGCAUCACGCUACUUUCAGGAGUCCCAGCUGGAAUCUCCAUGACAUCGUAGAACCAAUCUGGUCCUCGACCUGUUUGCUCUCUUCACACACCGCUGCCGCUGGUUGCCUGGGGUGGAUGUCGGACUUCGCUGGCCCGGUUAGACGACUUCUUUGAAACUUGGAUCCAAGUUAAGUACGAUAUGCUGUCUGUGGAUCCAGCGGUCGUAACUGGUUGAAAUUUAAACUAGCUGUCUCAAAUCCUCCUCUGAGCCAAAAAAGAAAAAGAGAAGUUGUGAGUUUCUACUGUAUCAGUGAGCAGAGCUUCAUGUUCCAGAACAUCAGAGCUCAUAUCUGCUCUACCAUCCAUUGUUCUAGAAUACUGCCAUAUUGGGCCGGGUUUACCAGGACAGUACCUGAUGAUUCCUGAUCAGAUGGUGCCCUGAUUGGUUAGUCUGACUGAAAAUAUAAUAUUCUAACUUUAUUAUUAUCUUGUAAAUAAUGAAUUGUUAAUGAUAAAUAUUAAUAGUUGCUAAAAGUUAAACCAACAUUGUUAUGGAUGUCCUCUUCCAGUGGAGACAAUCUCUACUGGAGAGACGACUUCACUGAAUCUGAUGUAACAGCAUCAUUCUUAAGGAGUUUUUGUUUAGUUUUCGUGCAUAAAAUAAACUGACUUUUCAAAAUAAAGUCACAACCUAAUGAAGCAACCAGGUAAGAGCCUCUGAUUGGAUCAUUACUGCAUGGAUGAUCAUGUUUCUGGAGGUAACAAGUUAUUUCACCCAAACGGAUGCAGUGAGCAGCUUCUCAUUUCCUAAACAACCAUGUUGGACCCGUCCUGGGGUUGUGGAAAAAAUUUUAAUCUGUUUCAGAGCAGAUCAAUUUAUGGGCAUCAAGCAAGGAGAAGAUCUAAGGAGAUUCCUGGAUUAGUCAGUAACCUCCUGCGAUGGUCUGGCCUUAGAUCUUUUCCUCUUCGGUGAUGCAGAAAAGUCCAGCAGAGAUUUUAAGGGAACAUCUGCUGCCUUCAGGACCACGACGGACCAUGCUGGUUCUGUAAAAAUAAAUCUGACAGUUUUUGUAUCCCAGCUGGAUUUGAAAGCCUUUCUCAUGUAAAUAGAUGUUGAUGUGAGGGAAAAUCUCCUGAGCUGAGAUCAUUCAUGGUUGUUUCUGCGUCCUUCAAGAAGCCUGAGCUGGAAGUUCUGUAAAGUGAGAAGGACCAGGUGUCCUUUCUCUGUUUAGCUUUCCUGUCUGCAGUUCAUCUGCUGAGUUUAGAGGAAACACAAUCAGUUUAGUGGAACAUGUUUUUUUUGUUUUCUGGCCUGUAGGUGGCGCUGUUGCUCUUUUCUCGCUUUCCUGUUGGUUCAUUGUUAAUUUUAUUAAAGUCUCACAGUUCAGUGAAGACACAAAUAAUAUUUAUU